rnacentral:lncRNA from 1 species
UAAAAACCGAGGGGUAUCAUCUUUCCUUCAUUUUUGACAUUCAAGACUGAAUUUUUGAGGGUUUUCUUCUACUCUCUCAAGACCUCCAACUCCUCCCAUAUCCAAGGUAAGGUUUUCUUUUUGAGUACUUUAUGUUGAUUACUACUCCUAAACACUUUUAUUAACAUGGAUUGAUCUUGAAAAUUCUUAGAUUUCAUUCAAAUUUCUAAAUUGAUUCAAUAACACUACAAUUUGAUUAUCAAGAUUCUUACUACAAGAGGUAUAUCUAUCAUCUCUAACUACUCUAUGGUAAUUAUUUAUGUAUAAUAUAUACAUUAGAACUCAUGGGAUGAUGAUGGAAAACCAUAUGUGCAUAACCUAGGUUGUGUUGGUUGUAGAGAUUGUGAAAUGGUUUAAUUAAGGAGAUUAGUGGUUGAGUAUGAAUGAAUGGUCAUACAUAUGUUGUUGGAAGUUAUAAAUUGGAUAGGAAUGAUGGUGGAGUAAAUUUGUUGGCUGAUUUUUGAUAGUUGGAGGAACCAAUACAAUAGUAAUGAGGUGUAAAUAUCCAUGCCUACAAGGUGUUUGAUAAUAUGCCUAUAUGGCAUAAGUUAUGGCAUUUAUCACUAAUAGUAGCCCUAUUGAAUGUUUUAUUGUGGAUUUAAGUUUACCUAAGAGUAGUUGAUCAUUGUAGUACCGUUAAGAGGCAAAUCCCAGAUAUGUAUGGCUAAAACCUUGCAUUUGGGAAAUCGAGCUUCAUCGAUGUUUGUGUGAUUUUGGGCAGAUUCGUCGCACUAGGAGGCCAGUUCGAGAGGCAAGGGCAUUGCGAGCUAGACUUUUGGCCGUCUUGAGGUGAGUAGUACUUGUAAAUGAUAUUCUGAGGGUUUGAAACCCCAGAUUUGCACAUCAUAGUGCUGUAUUGAGGUGACUUGCACGCCGAAUAUGAGCGUGGGGUAGAACACCGUUGGGGAUUGUGACUUGGUCUAUCCCCGUGGUUGAUUUUACUACAUAUUUGACUGAAAUUACUUGUUAUCAUCAUAAUUUGGGAUGAUUUCCAUGUUAGGAGCCUUGCGCCGUCUUGUAAAAUCCUUUGAGGAUUGAUAUUACUACUUAGCAUGAUUUGUAUAUCAUCUAACUUCAGUCCAAGGUUUUAAAUGUUGUUUUGCAAACCCAGCCAUAUUUCUAUGUUUUGAAAACUUAAAUGACAUUUUAAAUGCAUUUCGGGCUGGAAACUUCUAUUUUGUAAAUGCCCAAGGGGCUUACUAUAUUAUUUUCUGGACUGAUCAUAAAGUUACCUGAAACAGUGGUAACAGUGAUAUUGUAUGUUAUACUUGGAACAGUGGCAACAAUGGCACUGUAUGAUAUAAUUUGUCAGGUAACAUUGGCUGACCGAUCAGGUAACAUUGGUUUACCAGUAUAUUGCUCUUCGGCUGUAGGAGCCUUCCGGAGUCUGUACACACCCCCAGUGAGCGCCGUCGACGAUAGAUAAAUAUGGAUGGCUCGGGCUGCACGCCGCAAUAUGUACUGGAAUGUACCAUCAUAUGCAUUGCAUUGCAUUGCAUUCAUGCAUGUAUUCAUUAUUUGGUUUUUGCGAUAUUUUUGGAGAUAUUUAUCUGCUUUUGCUGGUGUUAUCGGUUCCUUGAGUGUUGAGGCCCGAGUGGCUGACCAGGAACAAAGAUAUUGCCCGAGGGGCGGGUUUUUGUGCAUAGUAACACUGAUGGCUGCAAUUAUUUUGCAAUUGUUAAAAAGAUUAUUUUCAAAUGAGGUUUAAAACUGAGCCAGAUAUUUAUAGAGGAUUUUCAUAGAAUUAUUGUUUUCUGAAAAGGUUGCACCGUCUUAUAUAGCAUGAUGAAGUGUUCUUACGUGAUUUCUUAUCGAUCAGUUAUUAUUUACUCUUAUUACCAUUGAGUUGGAAGUACUCACUUUACUCCCUGCACCUCGCGUGCAGUUGCAGGUAUUGUUCGCCCGAUAGCGGGUUAUUAGCGGAU